CGAGAGCCUGGUCGGCGAUAUGAAACUGCUCACCCACAAUCUGCUGAGCUCGCAUGUGCAGGGGGUGGGGUCCUGUGGCUUCCCCCUGCGCCUCCAGGCCACUGAGGUCCGUAUCUGCCCUGUGGAGUUCAACCCCAACUUCGUGGUGCGUAUGAUACCUAAGGUGGAGUGGGCGGCGUUCCUGGAAGCGGCCGAUAAUUUGUGCCUGAUCCAGGUGCCUAAAGGGCCGGUUGAGGGAUAUGAGGAGAAUGAAGUUUCUGAGGACCAUGCACCAUCUGCUGCUGGAGGUGGAAGUCAUAGAGGGCACCCUGCAGUGCCCGAAGUCUGGACCUAUGUUCCCCAUCAGCCGCGGGAUCCCCAACAUGCUGCUGAGUGAAGAGGAAACUGAGAGUUGAUUGUGCCAGGCGCCAGUUUUUCUUGUUAUGACUAAUGUUUUUGUUGAUGUAUACCCUGUUUCCAAAUUCUGCCGUGUGUAUCCCCAACCCUUGACCCAAUGACACCAAACACACAGUGUUCUUGAGCUCGACAUUAUAUAUUUUUUUCUCAUUAAAGGUUCAAAACCAAAAAAAAA